rnacentral:rRNA from 1 species
GUGCCAGCAGCCGCGGUAAUACGAAGGGGGCUAGCGUUGCUCGGAAUUACUGGGCGUAAAGGGCGCGUAGGCGGAUAGUUUAGUCAGAGGUAAAAGCCCAGGGCUCAACCUUGGAACUGCCUUUGAUACUGGCUAUCUUGAGUUCGGGAGAGGUGAGUGGAAUGCCGAGUGUAGAGGUGAAAUUCGUAGAUAUUCGGCGGAACACCAGUGGCGAAGGCGACUCACUGGCCCGAUACUGACGCUGAGGCGCGAAAGCGUGGGGAGCAAACAGGAUUAGAUACCCUGGUAGUCC